CACACAAGAAGUGCAGGGGCUGUGGUCAGAGAUGCCAACUACUGGCUCUGCUUCGUGGGCCCAGGCCUCAGUUUCCCCUCUAGCCAGCAAACGGGCUGGUUCCAGAGCUGCUGGCUUCACAAGUGUGUCUCAGUGGUGGUUCACUGUCCCCAGAGCGGUGGCCGCUGCGGGCUGGCCAGCACCAGCGUCUGUGGCAGGCCGGGGGAAGGUCAAGGAGACCACCGAGGGUGUGCAUGAGGUUGUGGAUGGGACUUAACCCCAUCACGUUCUACCUCGUGGGUCCUCUAGUGAGGUGUCCCUGGGGCACCUCUGACGUGCUCUCUGCAAUGUUUGUUCAGAAAAUGCCCCUUCUUACACCUGUGUUUCCCAGUCCAGACCCCCUCCCACCAGCAGUUCAGGCCUAUUUGUCCCAGGGCCUUACUGCCCUCACUAGUCUGCUAGAGAUCAAGGCAGCCUUUCAGGAAGCCGGGUGGUGUCUAGUGGAGGCUGACCUAACCAAGAGUGCCCACUUCAGCAGCCUUGCAGUUCUCACAAACAUGCAGAGCCCGGAGAAUUACUUUUGUGCUCAGUCGUGUCCAACUCUUUGUGACCCCAUGGACUAUAACCCACCAGGCUCCUCUGUCCGUGGGGAUUGUUAAGGCAAAAAUGCUGAAGGUAGGUUGUCAGGCCCUCCUCUAGGGGAUCUUCCCAACCCAGGGAUUGAACCCAGGUCUCAUUGUGGGAGGAUUCUUCACCAUCUGGGCCACCAGAGAAGCCAAGAAUACUGGAGUGGGUAGCCUAUCCCUUCUCCAGGGGAGCUUCCCAACCCAGUAAUUGAACUGGGGUCUCUUGCACUGCAGGUGGAUUCUUUACCAGCUGAGCUACCCUGGAAGCUGUAAGAGCCUUACAUUUUAAAGAUGUAUUUCCCGAGGUUAUGGGCCUCAGCCUCUCACUGUCGAGCCCACGCUCUAGCACUCAGAGGUGCGGCCUCUGACACAUGUUCUGGAUGCCAGGCCUUUCCUUGAGAGCUGGGGAGCGAGGAUGGGCAGUCGGGGCUGUCCCUGGCCAGCAGCUCAGGGUGUUCCUCCCCUAUGAGGGCGGCAGGGCUACAAACUUCUCUCUAUUCAUUUUAGUCUUGACACAGUGUGGGAUUUUAGAUACAUUUUUGCUGCUUGAUGAUAAUGGCAGAUACCUCAUUCCUCUUCCAUUCUCCGUCUUGGGAGACGUACCAGCUACCCAGGACAGCUUGUGGAGCCCACCGCUGGAUGGGACCUCUCCUCCCCUGGCAUCUCCAGUCUGAUCCCGACGUAGAGACUUCUCCGGGAAGCUACCUGUAACUUCCAGAACUGGGUUACGUGUCCCAUGACAUUGCCACAAAGGAGUCUCGUUAAGUUCCAGGGUCAGGGUAUAAAGUCACGCCUGGGAUAAAAACGGAGCAUGAUAAAAAUUCCUCUCCAAAACCCUGUGGAAGGUACCUUGCUGAAGACCCUUAUCACGAGGCCCAGUGCCGCUGCUGCCUGCCCAUGUGGGAGCAGGUCACUGAUUUCUUUGGGUGAGCCCCAGGAGAAGUGAUGGACCUGCAAUUCGGGCUGUGUUGUGCAAACAGCAGGUGUUCGACUCACACUCAGGCGAGCCGCUCACUCUUGAAGAGGCCCCAGGGACCCGAGACAGGCCACAGGAGUAGCAGGGGCUUGGGCUCGCCUCAGGGCCUCCUGCCUGGCUGCUCGGGAUGGAGGGACAGGUGGUGUGCAGUCGCCAAGUCGUGUCUGACUCUGAGACCCCAUGGACUGCAGCACAGUAGGUCUCCUUGUCCCUCACUGUCUCCUGGAGUUUGCCGAAGUUCAUGUCCGUUGAAUUGGUGAUGCUGUCCAACCAUCUCAUCCUCUGUGACCCAAAUAACGUAAAAUUGCUUUCCCUAUCUUUUUUUUUUUCCUCCCUAACUUUUUCAGACAAAUACCAUUGUGUUUGCUUAAGUGAAAUAUGUAAUGGAAUAUACCAGAUUUCCGUACCCCCCAGCCCCAGCACACCAGUACACUGCAUCACAGUUUCCUCUUCCUGUUUGUCUGUUUGCUAGACUGUGAGCUCCAUGAGAGCAGGGCCGCAUCCAGCUAGUUCAUGGGGGUCCCCCAUCCAGGUACCAUGCCUGGCACCUGGCAGGUCCCCCCUACACAAGGCCGACUGUGUAAAUCGCCAGCGUUACAAGGGACAGCUCCGUUCUCUGAAGGCCGGGCACUGUCUUACAGGCCAGGCCUCGUGGUUCUGCCUUGCACAUGUAACACGUGAUGUUUUGUCCCCUGCUAGCAGCCUCUGAUGAGGAGGCGUCUUCGUGUUCUGAUCUCUGUUCCUCCUACCAGGUCAUUCCAGAGUGAUGCCUAAAGAAUGUUUGGGAAAAUGAAUAAAUUGUGGAAAC
ensembl:lncRNA